rnacentral:rRNA from 1 species
UGGGGAAUUUUGGACAAUGGGCGCAAGCCUGAUCCAGCCAUGCCGCGUGCGGGAAGAAGGCCUUCGGGUUGUAAACCGCUUUUGUCAGGGAAGAAAUCUUCUGAGUUAAUACCUCGGGAGGAUGACGGUACCUGAAGAAUAAGCACCGGCUAACUACGUGCCAGCAGCCGCGGUAAUACGUAGGGUGCAAGCGUUAAUCGGAAUUACUGGGCGUAAAGCGUGCGCAGGCGGUUUUGUAAGACAGAGGUGAAAUCCCCGGGCUCAACCUGGGAACUGCCUUUGUGACUGCAAGGCUUGAGUGCGGCAGAGGGGGGAUGGAAUUCCGCGUGUAGCAGUGAAAUGCGUAGAUAUGCGGAGGAACACCGAUGGCGAAGGCAAUCCCCUGGGCCUGCACUGACGCUCAUGCACGAAAGCGUGGGGAGCAAACAGGAUUAGAUAGCCCUGGUAGUCCACGCCCUAAACGAUGUCAACUGGUUGUUGGGAAGGUUCCUUCUCAGUAACGUAGCUAACGCGUGAAGUCGACCGCCU